ensembl:lncRNA
GUAACGGUCGCCUCUAAGGGGCGAUAUAGGGUUUUUAAUUGUAAGGUCGCAGUGAGGUCAAUCCACAAAAGACACCCGUGGUCUAAAGCUGCCAUGAAUAAGCCAAAACUCCCAGGGGCUUGGCUUUUGGAGGGAUCAAUGCUCUAAUCCACUGAAACUUAGAAGAGUGACCCUGGUUGGUCUUUUGGCACCAAGCGGGCGGAGAGAGCCGGACUCGCUGGCUGGCAGCCAAUUUGCUUCAUAGAUGAAGAGCGGAUGGGUGCCAAGGAGCUGGCUGCUGCUGUUGUCGGAGACGUGUUUCAUGUAGGCUCCAAAAUGCACCGUUUCUCUACGCCGCCGAGCAGCAAAAAGAUACAUUACCGACUUUGAAGUCCGGAAAAAAAUAGAAAAACCCUGUCAUCAUUCAGCUUGACCUAGGUGCUGAGACAUCACAUUUCUCUACUGUGACGCCAAUUAGCGAACCCAGAUGGUUCACUCAAAACAGUGCGAGUUAAGGUUUCCUGCUGCUUGAGUGCGGUGAUCGCACAUUCGAUUCAUGGAAAUCAAUGGAGGAGGGCUUCCAAUCAUGGGUAAUUACUCGGUGCUGCCAUCUUGACGCUGCAUGUUCAACGGUCAACGGGGAGUCUCUUGUUGUCUGAGGGAACCUCACACCCCAAUCGAGGCCGGCUUAAAAAACGGAUCCCCCAGCGUGUGUGGAAAGUUCCAAUUAUAACCGACUAUGCUAGCUUUUUAGUCAAGAACUGCAUGGAUGGAGGUGGUGGGUGGGUGGUCCUGUGGAUACCAGAGGAGAAUGACAAAGGGGGUCAUCACUGGCUCAGCCAAUUACCCCAAAAAAAGAGUCAGAGGGUGGAAAGAAAGAAUCCAUCAAACACACAAUUAUGGAGGACAUGGGACUGCCGACGGACAGCCUUGUGUCAGGCUGGGUGAGAUGCACCCACGCUCCGCAGUUGUACAGAAGGACGACUACAAUGCAGGAUGGUUCAGCCCCCGUCUGGCUGUUAAGAUGCAUAGUGAAACGGGGUCAGGGUGGAGGAGUGGCCGGUUUCUGACGGCGUUUAGUAAACGCUAAUGAUUCUGAUCCCUUAGAUUAGGAAUGCGACUCAAAUGUAUUUAUUUGUGGUGACUGAUUGAUGCAAUAUCAUUGUUGUAAAGUGUGAUACUCGUGAUUUAAAAAUAUAAAACACCGCCUUUUUGUAAACCCGAGCAGUUCAGAGUGCAAGCCUUAAGAACGGAGAGUUGCAUAUGAGAGCGUUUCACUUGUACAUUAUUGAAGCUUUGUUGUUCUGAAAUGUUUGCAGGUGAUCUCUCGGUCGAGAGGGGGCACGCCAUGUCAAGCCUUUAGAAGUACAGGUAUCCACCAGAAAUAGAAUGAAAGAAAUAACAAGAGAGAUAGAAUGCAGGACUUAAUAGCCAUCACAACACAAGCGCAGUGAGGGUUCUCUUUGCUCCUUCAGCAUUCAUUUUAAGUGUGGGAUAAACUGGAGGAUAUGCUUGAGGGGACUAUGAGGGAGGGGCUUGAAAAAAGGGGGAAGGGCUUGAGGCAAAAGGGAG